UACGGGGGGGGAAAGCGUUGUUCGGAAUUACUGGGCGUAAAGGGUUCGUAGGUGGCCGGCUAAGUCAGACGUGAAAUCCCUCAGCUCAACUGGGGAACUGCGUCUGAGACUGGUCGGCUCGAGUGCAGGAGAGGAACGCGGAAUUCCAGGUGUAGCGGUGAAAUGCGUAGAUAUCUGGAGGAACACCGGUGGCGAAGGCGGCGUUCUGGACUGUUACUGACACUGAGGAACGAAAGCCAGGGGAGCAAACGGG
rnacentral:rRNA from 1 species